GACGUAGGGCGCGAGCGUUGUCCGGAUUUAUUGGGCGUAAAGGGCUCGUAGGCGGCUGGUCGCGUCGGGAGUGAAAGCCCGCUGCUUAACGGCGGGUUUGCUUUCGGUACGGGCUGGCUGGAGUGUGGCAGGGGAGACUGGAAUUCCUGGUGUAGCGGUGGAAUGCGCAGAUAUCAGGAGGAACACCGGUGGCGAAGGCGGGUCUCUGGGCCAUUACUGACGCUGAGGAGCGAAAGCGUGGGGAGCGAACAGG
rnacentral:rRNA from 1 species